UACAGAGGUCUCAAGCGUUGUUCGGAUUCAUUGGGCGUAAAGGGUGCGUAGGCGGCGCGGUAAGUCGGGUGUGAAAUCUCGGAGCUUAACUCCGAAACUGCAUUCGAUACUGCCGUGCUUGAGGACUGGAGAGGAGACUGGAAUUUACGGUGUAGCGGUGAAAUGCGUAGAUAUCAGGAGGAACACCGGUGGCGAAGGCGGCUAUCUGGACAGAGUCUGACGCUGAGGCGCGAAAGCUAGGGGGAGCAAACAGGG
rnacentral:rRNA from 1 species